rnacentral:rRNA from 1 species
GUAGGUGGCAAGCGUUGUCCGGAAUUAUUGGGCGUAAAGCGCGCGCAGGCGGGUCCUUUAAGUCUGAUGUGAAAGCCCACGGGCUCAACCGUGGAGGGUCAUUGGAAACUGGGGGACUUGAGUACAGAAGAGGAAAGCGGAAUUCCAAGUGUAGCGGUGAAAUGCGUAGAGAUUUGGAGGAACACCAGUGGCGAAGGCGGCUUUCUGGUCUGUAACUGACGCAGAGGCGCGAAAGCGUGGGGAGCAAACAGGAUUAGAUACCCUGGUAGUCCACGCCGUAAACGAUGAGUGCUAAGUGUUAGGGGGUUUCCGCCCCUUAGUGCUGCAGCUAACGCAUUAAGCACUCCGCCUGGGGAGUACGGCCGCAAAGGCUG